rnacentral:rRNA from 1 species
GGAGUUUGGACCGUGUCUCAGUUCCAAUGUGGCCGAUCACCCUCUCAGGUCGGCUACUGAUCGUCGCCUUGGUGAGCCGUUACCUCACCAACUAGCUAAUCAGACGCGAGCCCCUCUUACAUCGAUAAAUCUUUCCAAACCGUACGAUGCCGUACUUGUCUGGCAUAUGCGGUAUUACCGUCCGUUUCCAAACGUUAUUCCCCAAUGUAAGGCAGGUUGCUCACGCGUUACUCACCCGUCCGCCACUCGAUUGGCAAAAAGCAAGCUUUUCGCUUCUCUCGUUCGACUUGCAUGUGUUAGGCACGCCGCCAGCGUUCAUCCUGAGCCAUGAUCAAAACUCU